CCUAUGGCGCAAACCGUGCGGACACUCUAUAAUGCGGGCGCCGGGAAACCGGCUAUGGCGCUAAACACCAUAUGGAAUAAGCGUUGCGGACCCGGGGGCGGUACCCGGCGCCUCCACCAUCAUCGCCGUAUCGGGCGGCGGGUCUUAUGGGGGCGAAACAGGAUCGACGCGCGUGGUAAAGAUGUGGCUUGUGCUCGGCAUGGUACCGCCGUUACCGGACCAAACACACAAGUGCCAACGAUAACGUCGUUGCUCUCGCUGCCUGAUAGGUAAGCGCGGUCCGGGGGGCGCCGGGCAACAGAACGCCCCUCACU
rnacentral:tmRNA from 1 species